rnacentral:tRNA from 1 species
AAGGAUAUAAAUAAAGAAGCUGCUAACUAUCUUUUAAAGUAAAUAAAUAUUACUUUAUCCUUA